GGGCGAGGUGCUGCACCGACGUGGCGGCCGCCAAGGCUUCCCCUCCUCCGGAUCUGGCGGCCAUGGAGUUGGGGAUGCGUGGGAUGACGUUCGGCUACUAUGCAGCUCACUACGCCCACACAGGGAAGUAGUAGGAGAGCUGCAUCCUCCUCCUAGUGCGGGCUCAUAGAUGGCCGCCGCUUCACCUGCCCCCAUCCCGAUGAUCUCUGAGAUGCCCCCCCCUCGCUGUCUCUUUCUUUGAGAGGGGAUCCAAAGCGUGGCGAGCCUGCCGGAUCGUGUCGUCGCCAGAGCCACCAUGUGAAUCGCACGAGCACACACGUAUAUGCAAAGGUUUUCUUGUCUACAAGGAAUCGGCAGUACCCGGAUUUCGCGUGUGACUGCGGUCCACAGUAUGGGCACCUGCAGCUCUCUCUCCAUCCCGUGGAAGUACAUCACGAGCAAAAGGUCCUGGAGCAUGCGGUUCUGUUCUGCGUCAGGGAGACACGCCUCCAGCUGUGCUACUCGCUGGGAUUUUGGCCUGAGAGGACAACGACAGCCACACGAAAAGUUGUGCUUGUGCAGGUCUGCUGCCUCCGGCCUAGCUGUGGUGGCCACAUGGCGAGGCGCGCCCCCACCUGGAUUCCACCCCCAUGCAUGCAGUUCGGUGCUCCUUUAUGUGUGGUUAAUCGGAGCACCGGUUCCACCGACGUAGCUAUUGUUGCAGUUUUGUUGCCAUUUUUUGCAGUUCCUGUAAUUUGGAUAGCGAGCCUCCAUCCAUGCGGUUUGCCAGCGCAUCCAUGCAGUACGGCGCGCGUGUGUGUGCAGUACUAUUAGAACCUGAUGAUUUGCUUUGUAGAAAAGG